rnacentral:lncRNA from 1 species
ACUAUGGUAAGAAGGCUAACUCCAGAAUUUAUUGAGUAAAAGUAUUCUACUGUUACAUAAAUAACUGUCGACAGUGUUUCAUAGUAAUUGUUAGAGGUGGAUCGGGCUAAGAAAAAUUCGGAUUUUGGGCCAAAAUAUCCUAUAAAUAAUGUAACCUUAAAUAUAUAUUCAAAACAUUAGCAGAUAAUAACCAAUUCAUCAAGUCAAAUACCACAUGUUCAAUUAAAAAACAAGGUAUUUAUUUUGAAGCCCUACAUUUUGACAAACAAAUUUUAAUUUUUCGAUCUUACAAACAUCUUUUAAAUUUCUUGAUUAAUAUUGAAGGUUGUUUAAUUAAACAUUUUAGGUGUCUAAUGUUUAUGGGUACGAAAUUAUCAUACAACUACGAUGCAGCUGAGAAUACCCGCUCUGGGAGGACAGACGUUGCUCAUAACAUCUGUAAUUUGGCAUCUUGUACUUUCUGAAAUUAAAUCUUCAACAGCUCUUUGUUUCCUCACUUACUCCCUGAAUAAUCUGUCUUUAAACCUUGGCUCAAGAGGAGUUGAAAUAGGACCGACAAGUUGCACUGGACUGGACUGAGGUCCUGUAUAACAACCCACACAACACUAAUUCUCACCAAUGGUCCAACAAUUUAGUAUUCUAUAGUUGAUAAAUUUUCAGAGCAUUGCUGUAUUUAAUUCUAACUGAGCUAUAAAAGUAGAUUUAAGCAAGGAUGGAUUACUAGAGAAGAGGAUAUGAAACAGUCCAAUCAAUUUUUCAUCAUCAAGUUCAAAUUAUACAACCUUACAAACAAAGAAUAUUAAAUAGUUUAAUGACAAUUUUAAGUCACUCAUAUUUUAUCCUGAAUUAUUCAUACUCAGCCGUUAUGGAUUCAUCAAAGAAAAUGAAAUAGAGAAGGAUUAGGACAAAUUACAUACAUGUCAAUACACAAACGACCCAUAAUGACUUAUCUCAAAAUUGAAUGUGUACUACAUUUGUAUUUUUUAACGAAUGAUCAUCAAUUUCUAUCAACAAAUUAUUCUUAUUAACCAUUUGGAGGCGCCUUAAAUGGAACUUUAAGUAAUCAAAAUUGCGGAUCCAAACGUCAUUUUGAAGAAUUAAUUUACUGAUACACGUCAAAAAUAGUUAAGUUACCGACGAGGAACAUACUGUAUUUAUACUAA